rnacentral:lncRNA from 1 species
UUAAUAAGAGAAUGCUACAGUUAUUAGAAGGCAAUCAUGUCAAAGUCUGGAUGGAAAUGUGGAAAGUCAGAAAUCAAAUAAAUUCAAGGGGGUUGAUAAAAAUUUGGCAUUGGCAACUACUUCUGACACUUUAAAAGUGUUAGAGUAAACCCCUGCCUUAACAUUAAUGGAUUAAAAACUCAAUUGUGUGAUAUUCAGUAAAUUCUUGUCAGGUUAAUUAAAUUUUUUUCAGUCUGCACUGUCAGAAAAAUCACAAAAUAUACUUCAACUUGGCCGGGUGUGGUGGCUUACGCCUGUAAUUUAACACUGGGAGGCCAAGGAGGUUGGAUUGCUUGAGCUCAGGUGUUCAAGACCAGCCUGGGCAAUGUGGUGAAACCCUUUCUCUACCAAACAUACAAAAAUUAGCUGGGUGUGGUGGCACGUGCCUGUGGUCCCAGCUACUCAGAGGGAGAGAUGGGCGGAUGGAUGGAGCCUGGGAGGACGAGGCUGCAGUGAGCCAUGAUUAUGCCACUGCACUCCAGCCUCGGUGACAGAGCAAGGUCCUGUCUCAAAAAUAAAAUUAAAAAUAAAGGUACUUCAACUUAUGUUUUAUAAAACCUUUGGGAAACUAGACAGGCUCUCAAUAAGAACCAAAUUUGAGAGAAGAGACUAGAGAGAGGACAGGUGUCAACUGUAAAAGAGUAAUAUCAUAUUAAUAUUGUAGGCUGCAGUAUCCAGUGGUUUUCUGCAUUUCAACAAAUGUUCAUUUCUGCAAAUAAUUUUAUUUUGCAGGUUUCUUCCUUUGGAUACAAUGUUCAAAUAUUGUGCAUUUACUCCUUUUGAUUCAGUUAACAAACAAGUAUUGAGCACACCUACAAGCACUAGUCAAUGUUAAGGUUGUAUAGAUUCAGCAGCAAAGUUCCUGCCCCCAUGGAGCUUACAGUCUAAUGGACAUCAAUUCUGGCACCUUCAUCAGUAUACUUUUUUAAAGCCCAGGUCAAACUCAUUUUCUAAAUCCUAUUUCCUAGGUAACAUGUCAUAAAUGUCAAAGUUUUGACAGAAUGCUUUACUGUACCACUUAACAAGGGUUCUCAGAUGUGUGGUCACUGGACCACUGGGAUAUGUUGAGCUAUUGCUUAAACACUGACUUAAAUAAAACAAAUAUUUUAAAUAAGAGAAUGCUACUGUAAUUAGAAGGCAAUCAUUUCAAAGUCUAGAUGGAGGCCAGGGGCGGUGGCUCAUGCCUGUAAUCCCAGCACUUUGGGAGGCCGAGGUGGGUGGAUCACAUGAGGUCAGGAGUUUGAGACCAGCCUGGUCAGUAUGGUGAAACUCCAUCUCUACUAAAAAUACAAAAAUUAGCCAGGCGUGGUGGUGUGCACCUGUAAUCCACUGAGGCAGGAGAAUCACUUGAGCCCGGGAAGUGGAGGUUGCAGUGAGCUGAGAUCGCACCACUGCAUCCAGCAUGGGCAACAGAGCGAGACUCCGUUUCAAACCAAAAAAUAAAAAACAAAAAAAAGUCUAGGUGGAAAUGUGGAGCGUUACAAAUCAAAUAAAUUCAAAGAGGUUGAUAAAGAAAAUUUUUCUCUCCUAUGAAAUCUGAUUACAAGCAUUCAGGUUGUACAUGAGUUCUGUUUUUUUUUUUUUUUUAAUCACCUUGUAGAACUUCCUCCCUCUGACAACUCUCUGAUGUUCUUACUAUUCUUAUCAUUUUCAUAAAAUGUACCAGCAGCAUGAAUUUUGUGAUGACUUACAAGAUUUGAUCGCCAGCUGAACCUCUUACCACAUAUCUCACAUUUGUAAGGUUUUUCCCCAGUGUGAACUCGCCUAUGAUACUGUAAUUGUGAAGACCGACUGAAGACUUUACCACACACAUCACAUUUGUAUGGUUUCUCUCCUGUGUGGACACUCUGAUGAAGUUGGAGACUUGAGGCCUGACUGAAGUGCUUCCCACACUCCCCACAUGUAUAGGGUUUUUCUCCUGUGUGCACCCUCUGAUGCAUGUCAAGGUUCAAGCUCCACUUGAAGCCCUUUCCACACUCCCCACAUUUGUAUGGCUUUUCUCCAGUGUGGACUUUUUGAUGGGCUUGAAGGUGUGCACUCCGACUGAAGCUCUUCCCACACUCUUCACAUUUAAAUGGUUUUUCUCCACUGUGGAUUCUCUGAUGAUUCAAAAGACAUGAGGCCCAGCCAAAGCUCUUCCCACAUUCCUUACAAUUAUAGGGUUUCUCUCCUCUGUGGACCCUCUGAU